GUUCUGACAUAGUGAGAAGUACACUGGUGGGGAAGCGCAAUGCUUUAUGGUUAACUAGGCUUGUUACAAGAUGGCCGCCAUCCAAGAUGGCGGCUCUUGGUGGAAACCCGAAGUGGGUGCAAGAAAACAGACCACUGCUCACCGGGAUGGUCAUGGAUGACUACGCACAAGUUGAAGGACAGAAAAUUAUUGGUUUGCUCUGAACCAGGACUGUGGAGUUCAAUACAGCCUUACAUCAGAUUUUCUCACCAACCCUGUUAUGAUUCACAGACCUGGAAUACUCACUGAAUGAAAACAUCAAUACAUACAUAUUUUAUAGCUACUGUGUAUUUAAGUUGUGUGUUUACUAUUUGCAUUGGUGAUGAUUUGUAAUUUAUUUCUAUGAUUUGUUAUACCUCUUUUCCAACUUUACCCUACUGUCUUUGAUUGAAAGGAGGCUGGAUAAAGACAGUGUAUUGUUGUGCAUUGUAAUGCUCAAUGUUAUGAACCAAUGAUGUCUUACCUGAAAGUGUAACUUGAAAAAUAUAUAUAGUAUAUCUGUAUUAGCUUGAAAUAGUAGAAUUGACAUUAGUAUAGGACUGAAACAAAUGUACUUUAUCUAUUGUGUGUCCAUUGUUUUCUUUUCCAUUGGCAUGGAGGAAUAUCCUAGCCUGUGUGCUAUCCUAGUUAGAUUACCAAGGCUCCUAUACCUCUCCCCCAUACAUAGGGAAUUGUAGGGGCCUUAGCAAACAAGGAUUGUGCAGCAUAUUACCCUGUGGUAUCUUUAUAUCUUAGACAACUUUGUGUAAUAUCUGAUGCAUUGUGAUCAGUAUCACUAUAAUAGGAACUACUGGUUUGAUAUUACAUUUCAUCACCUUAUGUUAGGUCUAUUGUAUGUUACCACUUUUUGUAUAUUUCUUUUGACACACAUUAAAACAUAUUUUCUGAUGCACACUAAAUGAUAUUGUUUAAGGCACAAAUGGUAAGAUGAACCUGGCAAGUCUGUUACCAACUACAUGUGUUACAUCAAAUUCAAUAUCAGUAGUACAAAUGAAUGAAUCUACAGUAUUCUAUAAAGAGAUAUCUAUGAAAUAUAAUAUUGGGAAAAUAAUAUGAAUAAAAGUUUUAAACAUAGAAUUUAUACUUUAAACAAGAAGAUA